UGUAUAUAUAUAUAUAAAAUAUAUUUGCCAACUAAAUGUGAUGGUCCCAUAGAGGACGAUGCUACUGAUAUUUUUAGCCCUAGGAGGACAUCUCCAGCUGGCUAAUGACACACUGUCUGUGUCUGAUUAGUAUUUGCGAAGUGAAA